AGGAACAGUUGGUGUAAAGGCCCUCAGGCAGGAAAGAGUGUGGUGUGUCUGAGAAAAGCAAGAAGGCCAGUGAAGCUGAAGCAUAGAAGAUGGGAGGAGGGACAGAAUGAAAGAGGUGGCUGCUCUGAAGACACAGUUGAAAACCAGCUGGCCACCAAGCAGAGAGGGACAUGGGAGACCCCAGGCAUGAAGACGACCAAUACCUAAAGCAGCCAUCAGGUGGACACAGCAAAGGACCAGUUCCAGGGAAGGCCAAUUAUACCAACGUCCUCCUGUCACAAGCAGGAUAAAAACUUAACAUUGCAAAUGAAAAGGCAAGAUGAGAGAGGGAGGGUUCAGCCCCUGACUGUCUACUAUGAUUUCCUCGGAUUCAGUUGGCUUGUAUCAGAGCCUUUUCCAACAAGGAGGAUCCACCUCUGUGAGAGAGUCUUUGCAAGACUUGAAAUUGCCAUUCUCUGUCUUAGCUUCAUCACUGCUACCUCCCUAGGAAGAGAUUUCUAUAUUGUAUGCAUUUUCUUUAUUUCUCUUUUUUUAAAUUUCCCCAACUAGGUUCCCCAAAAAAUGUCUGUUUUCUUUACUCUUGUAUCUCUAGACUUUACAGGAGUGCCUGGCACCCAGCAAGUAUGUGUUCAUUAAAUAUUUGCCAAAGGAAUGA